rnacentral:miRNA from 1 species
AAACCCUGAAGGAACAUUUUGGU